rnacentral:misc_RNA from 1 species
UUGAAGCGUGCGCUUCGGCGCGCCAACCCACAUUUGUGCAACGUACGGUACCCUGCGGCUGCUGGCUUGCCGGCGGCCGCGAAGGGCGGUCCCAAUGGGGCUUGCCUGACCAACACGUCUGAUCAAAGCCUGAUUGAAGUUAACGAAUGUUAAA